CGCGUGAGUGAAGAAGGCUUCGGGUUGUAAAGCUCUUUCGGCCGGAACGAAAUCGCGUACGUGAAUAACGUGCGUGGAUGACGGUACUGGAAGAAGAAGCACCGGCUAACUACGUGCCAGCAGCCGCGGUAAUACGUAGGGUGCGAGCGUUAAUCGGAAUUACUGGGCGUAAAGCGUGCGCAGGCGGUUCUGUAAGUCAGAUGUGAAAUCCCCGGGCUUAACCUGGGAACUGCGUUUGAAACUACGGAGCUAGAGUACGGCAGAGGGGGGUGGAAUUCCACGUGUAGCAGUGAAAUGCGUAGAUAUGUGGAGGAACACCGAUGGCGAAGCAGCCCCCUGGGCCGAUACUGACGCUCAGGCACGAAAGCGUGGGGACAAACAGGAUUAGAUCCCUGGUAGUCCACGCCCUAAACUAUGUCAACUAGUUGUCGGGGAAG
rnacentral:rRNA from 1 species